UCGAUAACUUCAAUAUGCGAUUUGCAAC
rnacentral:sRNA from 1 species